ACAAAACCCUUAUUUAUUAUUACAUGAUGUCAACUCAAGCCUUGAAGCUUAGAAUAAAAAUAUAGAGGAAUAGACCACAUAAACAAAGUAAUGUCAGUAUUGCUUCUUUUUUUUUUCUUCCUUCGAGGAGGAAGACUGUGUGCCUGGAUUUAUAUGUAUAUCUGUCUGAUUCUCAUGGAAUCUUAUUAUCAUGCAUUCAUGCCUAGCCAGCCAGGGCCAGCCGCCAGCUCCGCUCGAUGCUUAGCCUAGAGACACUUGUCUUGCUCUUGCUUGUUUCGUCCUCGCUUCUUCUUCUCCUCCUACUUGCAAUUGCAGCCUCAACACUUCUCCAUCUCUUCUCUUCUCUACUACUGAGAAAAAGGGAAACAGAACCACCUCCUCUUCCAACUUGGUCCAAUCGAUCAGUUAAGCAGACAAGCUCUCUGGUGCUAGAUCGAUCGGAAUCGAAUGGCGGCGCGGUGCGGCGGUCGCAGCGACGGGCGUGAGGACGGCGCGGUGGAGGCGCUGCUGCAGUGGCAGAAGGUGAGCGACUUUUUAAUCGGGGCGUCGUACCUAUCCAUCCCGUUGGAGCUGCUGCACUUCGCCACCUGCGCCGACCUUGCGCCGCUGCGGUGGGUGCUCCUCCAGUUCGGCGCCUUCAUCGUCUUCUGCGGCCUCACCCACCUGCUCGCCGUCUUCACCUACGAUCGCUCCAACUCGCGCCUCCUCCUCCUCGCCUUCACCGCCGCAAAGGUCCUCGUGGCCCUGUCCUCCUUCGCCGCCGCCGUCUCCCUCCCCACCUUCAUCCCGCAGCUGCUCCGCCUCAAGAUCCGCGAGGCUCUGCUCCGUGACAAGGCGCGACAGCUCGACCGCGACCUCAACCUCGUCAGGCGCCGCGAGGAGACCGCCGCGCGCGUCGUCCGUGCGUUCACGCAGCACAUCAGCGGCGGCUCCCUCCUCGACGCGCGCGCCAUCCUGCGCUUCGCCAUGCUCUACCUCUCCGACGCCCUCGGCCUCCGCAGCUGCGCCGUCUGGAUGCCCGCGGACAACGACGGCUCCGGCGUGCUCCACCUGGUCCAUCAGCUGCCACCUGACCACCAAGCCACAACCACGACGACGACGGCGCAGGCCAUUCGCAUCAGUGAUCCCGACGUGGCCGGUAUCAUGGCCAGCAAGGACGCCAGGGUGCUGAGGUCAGGCUCGGCGCUCUGGACAACGUCGGAUCAUGGAGCUGCGGCUGCCAUGCGGAUGCCGAUGCUGAGGGUGUCCAACUUCGCCGUAGACGGAUCAUCAUCAGAAUCAGAUGAACAGGGAGCUGUGAGCUACGCGAUUUUGGUCUUGGUUCUUCCGGUUCCAGUUCCUCCUCCUAACAGCCACAGGAGCAGACAUCUAGGAGGAGGGUGGAGCAGGCAGGAGCUGGAGAUCGUGGAGGCUGUGUCGGACCAGGUGGCCGUGGCGGUGUCGCACGCGGCGGUGCUGGAGGAGUGGCAGCUGACGCGGUACAAGCUGGCGGAGCGGCAGAGGGCCCUGGUGCAGGCCAGGCACGACGCCGCGGUGGCGACCAGGGCCAGAGACGCCGCGCAUGGCGCGAUGCGCGACGGCGUGCUGAGGCCGAUGCACGCCGUCCUGGGGCUGCUCUCCGUGAUGCAGGCGCAGCACCAGGACGAAGUCUUGCGCUGCGCCGAGCAGAGGCUUGCCGUGGGCGCCAUGGCCAGGACGAGCGCUCUCUCCUCCACGCUGAUGGACGACGUCAUGGCAGCGCUGCUAACGCCGCCGCCGAGCCCUGGUGAUCAGCCGGUGUCGGCGGCUGCCGGUGCUAGCUUGGUGGCAAGGAGGCUGUUCGACCUUCGCGCGCUGGUGAGGGAGGCCGCUUGCGUGGCAGGGUGCCUCGCCCGUUGCAGGGGACUCGGCUUUUCGCACCGGGCGGAGACGGGCUCUCUGCCCGAUUGGGUGGUCGGCGACGACAAGAGAGUGUUCCAUCUCCUGCUGCACAUGCUAGGCGCUCUGUUGGACCGGUGCGAAUGCCAGUGCCAUGACCUCUCCUUUUCUGUGGUUACUGUGGUGGUGGGUGAAGAAGAGACCAUGUCUGACCACCGGGACUGGACCAUUCCCAACUUCUCUGGUUGCAACACAGUAUGUGUCAGGUUCCAGUUUGGGAUCACGAGACUCUCGAGAGACAGCUUGCUGCAUUCAUCCAGCCCACGACCUCAUGACAGAGUUAGAAAUAGCCUCUGUUCCAGUUCAGUCAGAUACGAGACACGGCAAAGCAUCGCUACGUGCAACAAGAUCGUACAGAUGAUGAAUGGUAAGAUGUGGCGGGAAUCCCCGUCAGAUUCCGAAGGCCAGCAUGGAGAAAGCGUGAACCUCAUCCUGCACUUCCAGCUUGGGUUUGGAGUGGCGUCGCCCACUGCCGCCUCCGCCGCAUCGGGCGGCGGCGGCGGCUUGUACCGCAUGGGUGGCGGAUUUGGAGCCCCCUCGCCGUCGUCUUCCACCACUGCUCCUGCUCAGUACCACUUCAACGGCCUGGGGAUCCUGCUCGCGGACAGCAACGACACCACCCGGGAGGUGACGCGGAAGCUCCUCGAGAGGCUCGGCUGCCAGGUGCUGCCGGUGCCGUCGGCCGCGCACUGCCUCAGCCUUCUUCUAGGGGGUGGAGCCGCCGACCAACCAUUGUUCCAGCUCCAGCUGCAGGUGGUACUUCUUGACCUCUACACACCUGCUGGUGGUGCUGAUGCCGCCGGGGCAACGGAUGAUGGGUUUGAGGUGGCCCUCAGGAUCCGGAAGCUCACCAGCGACAGCUUCAGCUGGCUGAUCAUCCUAGUCGCGCUGCCAUUGCCACCGAGAGCGAGCUGCGUCGACGUCCGCAACAGGUGCCAGCGGGCGGGGGUGAACGGCGUGAUCCACAAACCCGCCACGCUGCCGGCGCUGGGCGCUCAGCUCUACAGGGUCCUCCACGACGACAACUGACCAGUGCGCCGCAGCAUCCACCUCUGCUCAUCUGCUGCGCCCGCCUGGCUCUGUUUUCUUCUCCUCCUCUCUGUACAUGAAUGUCGCAUGGAGGGGGCACCUUCCUCUAGCUGGAUAAGGAAGAGGCAGUAUGGAAAAGGAGCAGCUGCAGGGCCAGGUGAGGAGGAGUUGGUCUUUGGCUACUUCACGCCUGUCGAGGGUGGUGGCGGGCAUGAGUAGUGCAUCCUACUUUGUUGGCGUGCUUUUGUGAUGGAGCCUAAGGGCAUGUGGCUCCAUCCUGCUUUUGUU